rnacentral:rRNA from 1 species
UACGAAGGGGGCUAGCGUUGCUCGGAAUCAUUGGGCGUAAAGCGCACGUAGGCGGUUCGUUAUGUCGGAUGUGAAAGCCCUUGGCUUAACCGAGGAAGUGCAUCCGAAACUGGCGAGCUAGAGUACUAAAGAGGAUCGCGGAAUUCCCGGUGUAGAGGUGAAAUUCGUAGAUAUCGGGAGGAACACCGGUGGCGAAGGCGGCGAUCUGGGUAGAUACUGACGCUGAGGUGCGAAAGCGUGGGGAGCAAACAGG